UAUCGUCAUGCAAAACGUAAGUAUAAAAAAGAAAAGAACGAGAGAAGAUUCAUGUGUCGCAUGUCGCGCUUUAGUGUUCGAACGCGAUGGCACGUUUCGACGCAUUAGAAGAAUAGACUUUCUUACGUUAUAAGACGUUUGUUAUUAUUUUCGAAACGAUGUUUCGAUACAGCAGAUCGUCGCGUUCAAGCGCUAAACACUACGUCAUGGACAGAUACGACACGAAUCUAUGAUUUAAUAGAAAAUAAAAAUAGGAAAAAAAGAAAAUUAGCUGUACAACAAUCGCGAAACAACAAACCGACCCAUCGAGUGUCGUGUCGUCGAGAUAAAGGCGCGGCUAAAAUUUAUAAAUUAUUAAGGAUUUCAAUAAAACGUCGCCACAUAGUUAUCGCAAAUGCAAAUUGAACCGGAUUGGUCGGUUCAUCAGCGCGUGUGUAUAUAUAUAUAUAUAUAUAUAUAUAUAUAUAUAUAUAUAUAUAUUUUCACAUAUAUAUACAUAUAUAUAUUCACGCACCAAACAUUUUCACUCAGCGGCGUUUCACGAUGACAGAAAAUCCGUCUCUACCAUUUGUGUGAUAUCCGAAAAAGGCAUCUAAAACCUACAUCUAGCCCUUAACGUUAUAAAAGAUGCUACGGAUGUUCGUUUCUUAGGCAGACCACGACGUGAAAGUCACGGGAGGAGAGUGCUUGUCCCUGUGUGACAUAAACACGAAUCUUGCUUGGCGAAACGAAAGGACCAAAUCGAAAUAACAAAUUUAGUAGAAUUUAAGUAACACAGAUUACAACUUGAGAAGCUGAUACGACGAGAAGCGGACGAGAAUUAUCGAAGUGUGUUAUACAAAUUGUGACGUGUACUAAUUUUUAAUGCGCACACACACGCAUGUACAUACAUACAUACACAGAGAAUUUACGAUCAAACGGUUCCAAAGAGCAGAAAGGAUUCAGCAGGAGUUAACGCUCGGUUAACACGAUGCCUCCUCCUUAGUGUAUGGUGUCUUGCGAGUGAAAAAUGCAUACCAGGAAGUACAUGAAAACGACGUUACAGCUCACAGAACAAAGUACGAGCAUCACACGAAUAAUUCCAUCAAGUACAACUCUCUCGUUUCCCACAAGCAAUACACAUACGUAAUUAAUGCACAGUGUGUCAAUGGAUAAUAUGGAUUAAGGCGACUCUAUGAUUAGCAUGGUCACGAAGCGGAGAAGAACUGCUGAAGACGCUGCACUGUUCUGCGAUCCAGCGCGCACAGAUCGAAGUCGAACGUCUUCUUCGUGAUCUCAUAUUGACCAGUCUCGGCGAUCACCUGCACAACCCUCUGCAGCUCCUG